AAUUAAUCAGCCAGCAGGAAGUGAUGUAAUAUCAAGGGAGCUAUAAAGGGAUGCCCCUAUAUUGCCUCUCAUUCUGUAGUUGGUAUUCAAUGAGGUUGCACUUGUUCCUGUAAAAAGGAAUAGUUUCGUUCAGGAUUUGAAAUUUUCCUAAGUUCUCUGUUUGGUGACAUGUAUAAACAGAGGUAGACUAUAAGGUUCCACCAUUCUUGAUUGAAAAUAGGGAACGUAACAUCAUCUAAUUUCAACCAAAUUUAUAUAUAUUUUUUUGAAGUCUAUCUAGAUAUUAUAUUUAUCGAAUUGAAUAUGUGAUUGGAUGUAAUCAUUGGAUAUUCUAAACCUUUCUAAUCAAUGGUAAUCACUCCUACUAUAAGAACUGAUUCCAAACCCCUGAUGAAGUCCUAAUGGACGAAACGCGUUGGGUUUUGCAACGUCUGGUUAACAAAGUCCUUAUCACAAACAUCUGGUUGGAGAUACAUCCAUUUCGAGUUCUGACUGAUCACCUGGCUGUAAAAUCCUCACAUCCAACUGUAAUUUAUGUAUAAGAUUGUAAUAUUGUUUUAUAUGAAUUUUUAGAAGGUUGUGUCAAUAACGAACGCUUAGGAUAAAUAUCGUUUGUUUCUGUACAAUAAAAACUUUUAAUUAUUGUCAUACAAAAGGCA